rnacentral:rRNA from 1 species
AGAUUAAGUUAUUAAGGGCGCACGGUGGAUGCCUUGGCACUAGAAGCCGAUGAAGGACGUUACUAACGACGAUAUGCUUUGGGGAGCUGUAAGUAAGCUUUGAUCCAGAGAUUUCCGAAUGGGGAAACCCAGCAUGAGUUAUGUCAUGUUAUCGAUAUGUGAAUACAUAGCAUAUCAGAAGGCACACCCGGAGAACUGAAACAUCUUAGUACCCGGAGGAAGAGAAAGAAAAUUCGAUUCCCUUAGUAGCGGCGAGCGAAACGGGAAGAGCCCAAACCAACAAGCUUGCUUGUUGGGGUUGUAGGACACUCUAUACGGAGUUACAAAGGACGACAUUAGACGAAUCAUCUGGAAAGAUGAAUCAAAGAAGGUAAUAAUCCUGUAGUCGAAAAUGUUGUCUCUCUUGAGUGGAUCCUGAGUACGACGGAGCACGUGAAAUUCCGUCGGAAUCUGGGAGGACCAUCUCCUAAGGCUAAAUACUCUCUAGUGACCGAUAGCGAACCAGUACCGUGAGGGAAAGGUGAAAAGCACCCCGGAAGGGGAGUGAAAUAGAACCUGAAACCGUGUGCUUACAAGUAGUCAGAGCCCGUUAAUGGGUGAUGGCGUGCCUUUUGUAGAAUGAACCGGCGAGUUACGAUUUGAUGCAAGGUUAAGCAGUAAAUGUGGAGCCGUAGCGAAAGCGAGUCUGAAUAGGGCGUUUAGUAUUUGGUCGUAGACCCGAAACCAGGUGAUCUACCCUUGGUCAGGUUGAAGUUCAGGUAACACUGAAUGGAGGACCGAACCGACUCACGUUGAAAAGUGAGCGGAUGAACUGAGGGUAGCGGAGAAAUUCCAAUCGAACCUGGAGAUAGCUGGUUCUCUCCGAAAUAGCUUUAGGGCUAGCCUCAAGUGAUGAUUAUUGGAGGUAGAGCACUGUUUGGACGAGGGGCCCCUCUCGGGUUACCGAAUUCAGACAAACUCCGAAUGCCAAUUAAUUUAACUUGGGAGUCAGAACAUGGGUGAUAAGGUCCGUGUUCGAAAGGGAAACAGCCCAGACCACCAGCUAAGGUCCCAAAAUAUAUGUUAAGUGGAAAAGGAUGUGGCGUUGCCCAGACAACUAGGAUGUUGGCUUAGAAGCAGCCAUCAUUUAAAGAGUGCGUAAUAGCUCACUAGUCGAGUGACACUGCGCCGAAAAUGUACCGGGGCUAAACAUAUUACCGAAGCUGUGGAUUGUCCUUUGGACAAUGGUAGGAGAGCGUUCUAAGGGCGUUGAAGCAUGAUCGUAAGGACAUGUGGAGCGCUUAGAAGUGAGAAUGCCGGUGUGAGUAGCGAAAGACGGGUGAGAAUCCCGUCCACCGAUUGACUAAGGUUUCCAGAGGAAGGCUCGUCCGCUCUGGGUUAGUCGGGUCCUAAGCUGAGGCCGACAGGCGUAGGCGAUGGAUAACAGGUUGAUAUUCCUGUACCACCUAUAAUCGUUUUAAUCGAUGGGGGGACGCAGUAGGAUAGGCGAAGCGUGCGAUUGGAUUGCACGUCUAAGCAGUAAGGCUGAGUAUUAGGCAAAUCCGGUACUCAUUAAGGCUGAGCUGUGAUGGGGAGAAGACAUUGUGUCUUCGAGUCGUUGAUUUCACACUGCCGAGAAAAGCCUCUAGAUAGAAAAUAGGUGCCCGUACCGCAAACCGACACAGGUAGUCAAGAUGAGAAUUCUAAGGUGAGCGAGCGAACUCUCGUUAAGGAACUCGGCAAAAUGACCCCGUAACUUCGGGAGAAGGGGUGCUCUUUAGGGUUAACGCCCAGAAGAGCCGCAGUGAAUAGGCCCAAGCGACUGUUUAUCAAAAACACAGGUCUCUGCUAAACCGUAAGGUGAUGUAUAGGGGCUGACGCCUGCCCGGUGCUGGAAGGUUAAGAGGAGUGGUUAGCUUCUGCGAAGCUACGAAUCGAAGCCCCAGUAAACGGCGGCCGUAACUAUAACGGUCCUAAGGUAGCGAAAUUCCUUGUCGGGUAAGUUCCGACCCGCACGAAAGGCGUAACGAUUUGGGCACUGUCUCAACGAGAGACUCGGUGAAAUCAUAGUACCUGUGAAGAUGCAGGUUACCCGCGACAGGACGGAAAGACCCCGUGGAGCUUUACUGUAGCCUGAUAUUGAAAUUCGGCACAGCUUGUACAGGAUAGGUAGGAGCCUUUGAAACGUGAGCGCUAGCUUACGUGGAGGCGCUGGUGGGAUACUACCCUAGCUGUGUUGGCUUUCUAACCCGCACCACUUAUCGUGGUGGGAGACAGUGUCAGGCGGGCAGUUUGACUGGGGCGGUCGCCUCCUAAAAGGUAACGGAGGCGCUCAAAGGUUCCCUCAGAAUGGUUGGAAAUCAUUCAUAGAGUGUAAAGGCAUAAGGGAGCUUGACUGCGAGACCUACAAGUCGAGCAGGGUCGAAAGACGGACUUAGUGAUCCGGUGGUUCCGCAUGGAAGGGCCAUCGCUCAACGGAUAAAAGCUACCCCGGGGAUAACAGGCUUAUCUCCCCCAAGAGUUCACAUCGACGGGGAGGUUUGGCACCUCGAUGUCGGCUCAUCGCAUCCUGGGGCUGUAGUCGGUCCCAAGGGUUGGGCUGUUCGCCCAUUAAAGCGGUACGCGAGCUGGGUUCAGAACGUCGUGAGACAGUUCGGUCCCUAUCCGUCGUGGGCGUAGGAAAUUUGAGAGGAGCUGUCCUUAGUACGAGAGGACCGGGAUGGACAUACCUCUGGUGUACCAGUUGUCGUGCCAACGGCAUAGCUGGGUAGCUAUGUGUGGACGGGAUAAGUGCUGAAAGCAUCUAAGCAUGAAGCCCCCCUCAAGAUGAGAUUUCCCAACUUCGGUUAUAAGAUCCCUCAAAGAUGAUGAGGUUAAUAGGUUCGAGGUGGAAGCAUGGUGACAUGUGGAGCUGACGAAUACUAAUCGAUCGAAGACUUAAUCAAAUU